CGGCGGACGGGCGAGUAACGCGUGGGUAACCUACCCUGUACACACGGAUAACAUACCGAAAGGUAUGCUAGUACGGGAUAAUAUAUUUGAGAGGCAUCUCUUGAAUAUCAAAGGUGAGCCAGUACAGGAUGGACCCGCGUCUGAUUAGCUAGUUGGUAAGGUAACGGCUUACCAAGGCGACGAUCAGUAGCCGACCUGAGAGGGUGAUCGGCCACAUUGGAACUGAGACACGGUCCAA
rnacentral:rRNA from 1 species